rnacentral:lncRNA from 1 species
CCCUACCCAUACAUAGUGUCAUCGUAGCUCCGUGAGAUGAAUUGACCACAGACUUGUGCUUUGGAUAUGGGGCAGACGAGGAGUUUUUCCCCACCCCAGUCACUUUGGCUAAAGCCACAAGAGUGAGUUUGUCCAUGUUUUGUCGAUGGACUAGUAAUUUUAUACGAAUGUCAUGUUGCUCUAGGAAGACGAUGGUAGCAUCCAAAAGACACAACGAAUCAUACUGGUUCAAGCUGUAGGAGCUCUACAUCGAGUCUUAGAGAAGAUCAGGUGCAUG